AGAGAAAAGCUACGUAAGCCCUCACUGGUGGACAGUUAUUGCACAGACGAUGAGAGUGUACCGAGCUCCCGGCGUUAUUCCAACACCACCUUCCCUUUGUUCUCAAACUUGUCGGAUGAUGAGGUUAUCCUGUCUCACAGUCAGGAAACAGGAAGUGGGCUAAAGGUCUCCCAUUCCGCUCCGUCAUGUCGUUUACUCGUAGAAGACACCGACGAUGCCCAAAGGGAAUUCUUUCCAUUUGUACACCUCCCUUUGGAUUGCAAGCUAAAGAUUUUGUCGUAUCUGAGCUCAAUCGAAAAAGGUCGCAGCAUGCGAGUGUGCAAAGAGUGGUGCCAUAUUCUGAGAACGCCAAGCUUAUGGAUCAACAUAGUAUUGUGGGACUUUCCGCUAACUUGUGUUCCAAUGGCGACAUCAUCAAGGGGAGGUAGCCAUAGCAAUGGAGAUUGUUACACCUGUUACAAGAGGCGAGUUCAUGGUUUUGCUUGCUUUUUGAUGAAAAUCAGGCCUCUGAUCAGAAGGUUGGAGUUCAAGUUUGACAUCUAUCCAGACUCUGAUGGGUAUUUGGAAAUGCUCAAGAACCUGCUGCGCUGCAUUUCAUUUCGGGAAAUCAGAUACAUGAUGUUCAACUGGAAGGAUACCCCAGCACGACCCUUUUGGCUUGAAGAUUUGAAAAAAUGCCGAUGUCAAGAUGUUUUGUACUCUUGCAAGCUGAGAGCCAGACAGUGUAUCUAUUUCUUUGAUGAUCUCUCCAGACAUCUUACAAAAGUUGAGACUUUGAUACUGCCUUUUGAUUGGUCCUGUAACAAAAACGUGGAAAAUCUUGUGAGAUUGAAGACUUUAAAAACUCUUGUAUUGGAGAAGAGUAGUGUCUUCCAGUCCGUGGCUCAGUCCCGACUGGAUAGAGUCCUUUCAGGUCUCCCCAAUCUCCGUCAGCUGAUGCUUGAGAUCUGGGCUCCGAGCGGGGUAACUAUGUGUAAAUACGAGCUCAACUCCAAAUCAAUGGAGUUCCUUGACGUUUCACAGAGCCGAGGAUUUUAUCUCAGGUCUCUAAACAUGCCGAGUUUGAGACGUUUCCGCGUAGCCCGACAUCCAUGGAACGGGCCUAUGGUAUUUUCGGCUCAUCUUAACAUACCCUGUCUAUAUGAAGUGUUGCGCAAUGGAGCUCCAAAUCUUUCGAUCUUGAACGACCAUUAUCUGAUGGAGGACUGGAAAGAUGCAUGUUAUCCACGACUAGAAGAGGUUUUGAAGUCAGUCUGUUCAUGUCGAAAGCACAAAACUGGAUGGAUGAUGUGAAUGCAUAGUGUAUACAUACAAGUAACUACUGAAAUGUUAUGGUCUCAAUGAUUCCGUUGGUUGUUCAUGUUGUUUUACAUAUAUUUGUAAUAUGUAUUCAUUUUGCUUUUUAGAUGAGAAUGAAAUAGAGAAAAUGAUAUUAUUGUUUGAUUCAUUCCCUUUUGUGAUUGAGAUUUUAAAGCACUGCUUAGAUUACUAUGCACAUUCAUUGUAUUUUUUAGAUUGUAAAUGUAAUCAUGAUAUCAUCUUUAUACUGUACAUGCAAAUGCAUGUAUAAUAUUUUAAUAUCAGGAUAUUAACCAUAUGUUGGUUGGAAGUGAUUGAAAUUUUUUAUAAACUGUGAUGUCGCCUUCAGAAGUGCCAUUCUUUCAGUAUGUCAGGUAUAUAUAAUGUGUCAAGUCAAGCUGAUCAACGACUCCAAUGUUAACAGCUUCAAAAGAUUUUGAUUCUUUGAAAACAGUGCUUGAUUUUUUUUUUAAGCUUUGUGUAAAUGGCAGUAACUCAGCGACUGUAAACCAAUUAUUAUUUUUUUUACAAAUUUUAUUGGCAAAGUUUGAGUUAUAGACUGUUUAUAAUGGCAUUAAGUUGUUGUUUUUUCUUAGAGGCAGUCAUGUUUGUUAAUUAUGUGAACUUUGUUAGAGGACACACGCAAGCUUUGUGAGAUGCGAGUUGCAGAAAUCAAACUUGGUAGACGGUUCCUUUUUGAUAUAUAUAAGUGACUAGAUAGACUUUCUUUGUUUUUGAGGCAAUUUUUCACUAGUCACCCUUGUAGUACAUGUAUUGACACACUUCCAAUUCUGUCUGUACGUUAUCGUACACUGUCAAAUUGGCCAGCAAAACUUGACCAAAACAAAGUCCCAAUUAUAAUCAAUAUGUUCUUAGACCAAUAUACAUGUACAUUUAUGCACCAGGUGUAGGUGUUUUGCAAUUUCAUUAAUACUUUUUAAAUGAACAGUUGUAUAUUUAGUGCUAAUCAUCUAACAAUAAUUAUCAAAGUGAAAAUAUUUUUGGUAAAGAUAUUCAUUUUUCACACAGGGUUUCAUUUUUCAAUAAUUUUUUACAUUCUAUAACAAUACAUUUUUACUUUACAGACCAUGUUAUGAUUGUAAUACAUCUAUUUUUUGUUUGUUGGGGAGGAGAAUGAGGUUCAUAUAUAUAUGAACGGCCAUCAGGCAUCCAGAGAACCAGGUCACAGAAAUCAAAAUCUAUUUCUGUCUCAAUACUUUUCUAUGAAUUAUAUUGUUAAUAAAAUUUCUGAAGAAAAUGCGC
rnacentral:misc_RNA from 1 species